rnacentral:rRNA from 1 species
GNCCAUACUCCUACGGGAGGCAGCAGCAGGGAAUAUUGCACAAUGGACGGAAGUCUGAUGCAGCGACGCCGCGUGGAUGAAGAAGGCCCUCGGGUUGUAAAAUCCUUUACAGGGGGAAGAGGAAGGACGGUACCCCUGGAACAAGUGUCGGCUAACUACGUGCCAGCAGCCGCGGUAAGACGUAGGACACAAGCGUUAUCCGGAUUUACUGGGCGUAAAGCGUCUGCAGGCGGACAGGUAAGUUGGGCGUGAAAGCUCCGGGCCCAACCCGGAGAGGUCGUUCAAUACUGCGUGUCUAGAGGGUGUCAGAGGGGAGUGGAAUUUCCGGAGUAGCGGUAAAAUGCGCAGAGAUCGGAAAGAACACCAAUGGCGAAGGCAGCUCCCUGGGGCAACCCUGACGCUAAGAGACGAAAGCUAGGGGAGCGAACAGGAUUAGAGACCCUGGUAGCCCUAGCCCUAAACGAUGGAUGCUGGAUGUGGGGCCAUAGCGCUCCGUGUCGAAGCGAACGCGUUAAGCAUCCCGCCUGGGGACUACGGCCGCAAGGUUAAAACUCAAACGAAUUGACGGGACCCCGCACAAGCAGCGGAGCGUGUGGUUUAAUUCGAUGCUACACGAAGAACCUUACCUGGGUUUGACAUCUAGGUGGUAGUGAAGCGAAAGCGGAGCGACCCUUCGGGGAGCCUAGACAGGUGCUGCAUGGCUGUCGUCAGCUCGUGCCGUGAGGUGUCGGGUUAAGUCCCGUAACGAGCGCAACCCUUGCCCUCCGUUAUACGUGUCAGAGGGGACUGCCGGCGGUAAGCCGGAGGAAGGUGGGGAUGACGUCAAGUCAGCAUGGCCUUUAUAUCCAGGGCUACACACACGCUACAAUGGCCAGUACAAAGGGCAGCGAAGCCGCGAGGUGGAGCGAAUCCCAGCAAAGCUGGUCGUAGUUCGGAUUGCAGGCUGCAACCCGCCUGCAUGAAGCUGGAGUUGCUAGUAACCGCGCGUCAGCCAUAGUGCGGUGAAUACGUUCCCGGGGUUUGUACACACCGCCCGUCACGUCAUGGGAGUCGAUAACGCCUGAAGCCGGUGGCCUAGCUCGGAAGAGAGGGCGCUGUCUAAGGCGGGGU